rnacentral:rRNA from 1 species
UACAGAGGUCUCGAGCGUUAGGCGGAAUCACUGGGCUUAAAGCGUGUGUAGGUGGAUCGUUAAGUACCUUGUGAAAUCCCACGGCUUAACCGUGGAACUGCUUGGUAUACUGGCGGUCUUGAGUCAGCUAGGGGCUACCGGAACAAAUGGUGGAGCGGUGAAAUGCGUAGAUAUCUGGAGGAACACCGGUGGCGAAAGCGGCUCACUGGACCCGAUCUGACACUGAGGUGCGAAAGCUAGGGUAGCAAACGGG